UUUGCAGUGGCAAAUCGGGUACGACCAGCUCCCGCUGAACUCCCCCAGGACCGGAAGGUAGCAAGGGUAAGCGGUUGUAGCGGUGCGAUACCCUGAUUUGCCUUUUU
rfam:Fulvivirga imtechensis AK7 contig73, whole genome shotgun sequence.